GCCUUGUUCAAAGCUGGCGAACGACUCGUUUAGCCAGCUGGUAGAGCGCAGGCAUGCUCGCUAGGAGCCCAAUCCGGGGAGGUGCUGAGAGCACUUCACGCCGGCGGAUGUCAUCUUGCAGUGAGGCUGAAGAGAGUCGCAGUUUAGGCUUUGAUCCAGCGAACAGUUACGCGUGUACUUAAAUUUACACGUCACUUAAUCCCGACGUAGAACAUUAAGCAUGCACGGGAGGCUGGCCGUGCUGUUUGCAGAUCGCCGCGUCCGCGCUGCUCGGUGGAAGAAGAAGGGACUCGGAUAGUCGUUCUCUAGGUCGUGCCUUUGCUCGGCAUAAAGCCCAGGUCAGAAGCGCGUCUCGCCCUUAACUCUAACGUUGAAAAUAAUGCCAUUUCCGUAACUCCGG